rnacentral:rRNA from 1 species
UACAGAGGUCUCAAGCGUUGUUCGGAUUUACUGGGCGUAAAGGGCGCGUAGGCGGCAAUUCAAGUCAUCUGUGAAAUCUCCGGGCUUAACCCGGAACGGUCAGGUGAUACUGUUUUGCUAGAGUGCGGAAGGGGCAAUCGGAAUUCUCGGUGUAGCGGUGAAAUGCGUAGAUAUCGAGAGGAACACCAGAGGUGAAGACGGGUUGCUGGGCCGACACUGACGCUGACAGCGCGAAAGCCAGGGGAGCAAACGGG